CCGGGUUUGUCCGGUACGGCUGUGCCGCUCGGUGUGCACCGCUCCUCGGGACAGCGUGUGCCGGGGCCCUCCUCGGGAAAUAUUUCUUCCUUCUAUGGAAACCAACGAGCACCCGGGCCUGCACUCUUGAUAUAAAUACCCGGUGAUGACCGACUUAUUGCGGGCGACCGGGCGACGAAUCCACCGUUGGGACAGCACUGCCGGUGUCAGGCCGUAUCCCAGUCACCAACUGAGAGGACAGAGGAAAACGCUGCUUGCACGCCAGAUCCCUUCAGAAGUCUUCACAGACCCCUGAAGUCCCUUCUGAUCACCCGAGGACUUCUUUUGCCUAUCUCUUCAUUUCCAAUGUGGAAAGACAGUAGUGGAUAAUAAUCGGAGGGCUUAACCAGCGAGACAACAACCCGACUCCCUGUGUAGUCGCGCGAAUGGGUACCUUACCG
ensembl:lncRNA